UACGGAGGGUGCAAGCGUUAUCCGGAUUCACUGGGUUUAAAGGGUGCGUAGGUGGGUUGGUAAGUCAGUGGUGAAAUCCCCGAGCUUAACUUGGGAACUGCCAUUGAUACUAUCAGUCUUGAAUACCGUGGAGGUCGGCGGAAUAUGUCAUGUAGCGGUGAAAUGCUUAGAUAUGACAUAGAACACCAAUUGCGAAGGCAGCUGGCUACGCGGAUAUUGACACUGAGGCACGAAAGCGUGGGGAUCAAACAGGAUUAGAUACCCUAGUAGUCC
rnacentral:rRNA from 1 species